rnacentral:rRNA from 1 species
AGACGUCUACAUUAGAUACCCCUGUAGUCCCAGCCGUAAACAAUGUGCGUUAGGUGUGUCGGUAACCACGUGUUACUGAUGCGCCGAAGAGAAAUCGUGAAACGCACCACCUGGGAAGUACGGUCGCAAGGCUGAAACUUAAAGGAAUUGGCGGGGAGCACCACAACAGGUGGAGCCUGCGGUUUAAUUGGAUUCAACGCCGGACAUCUCACCGGAUAAGACAGCUGAAUGAUUGUCAAUCUGAAGGUUUUACAUGACUAGCUG